rnacentral:rRNA from 1 species
UACGUAGGUGGCAAGCGUUAUCCGGAAUUAUUGGGCGUAAAGCGCGCGCAGGUGGUUUCUUAAGUCUGAUGUGAAAGCCCACGGCUCAACCGUGGAGGGUCAUUGGAAACUGGGAGACUUGAGUGCAGAAGAGGAAAGUGGAAUUCCAUGUGUAGCGGUGAAAUGCGUAGAGAUAUGGAGGAACACCAGUGGCGAAGGCGACUUUCUGGUCUGUAACUGACACUGAGGCGCGAAAGCGUGGGGAGCAAACAGGAUGAGAUACCCCCGUAGUCC